rnacentral:rRNA from 1 species
GAAUUGAAGAGUUUGAUCAUGGCUCAGAUUGAACGCUGGCGGCAGGCUUAACACAUGCAAGUCGAACGGUAGCACAUAGGAGUUUGCUCCUUGGGUGACGAGUGGCGGACGGGUGAGUAAUGCUUGGGAAUCUGGCUUAUGGAGGGGGAUAACUACUGGAAACGGUAGCUAAUACCGCGUAAUGUCUUAGGACUAAAGGGUGGGACCAUUUGGCCACCUGCCAUAAGAUGAGCCCAAGUGGGAUUAGGUAGUUGGUGAGGUAAAGGCUCACCAAGCCCGCGAUCUCUAGCUGGUCUGAGAGGAUGACCAGCCACACUGGAACUGAGACACGGUCCAGACUCCUACGGGAGGCAGCAGUGG